UGUCUAGAACGUUUGGUUCCAGAACAUUCACUGUGUCUGCUCUUUUUUCUUCUGUUUGUUUCUUCAUCACAAAAGUAUCUCUUUCCAGAUCUGCUUUUCUUUCUAAACAUGUUGAAAAUUUCUUUAUGGGAUAAUUUGUUGCGGCCGAUUCUCUUCUUUGUCGUCCAACUUGGUUCUGCCAAUUCCCUGUCAAACCUGAUGUAGAAGCAACUGGCGACUUCAAACUUGCUAAAGCCAACCGAAGUUAGUGGAAAGAUAUGUUUGAAGAAGUUUAGACUCGAACCAUCCAAUAUUUGCCGCAAAGGCUACUAAGACAAACAUAAUCAAAUAAUCUGAAUGCAAAUUCUGCUUGACCAAGUCACAGUUAAAAUUCAAAAUUGAGGAAGAAUGAAUGUGAAUGAAGCCCUCUUCGUUAGAAGAAGACUCAAGAUCUAACGUCUGCAAAUGCAGCUUCACUACUUCCGUAUUUGGGACUGCUGGGUUGGAGCAAGAAAUUGAAAACUUGAAAAAGAAGUUGGCUACUGCACAAGAGAAAAUAGAAAUAUUCAAAAAGAGUUAUCAAAGGCUUAUAAUAUUAUAUUAAAGUUAGAACUACUACUAUCUCUUUAACAUCGCUUGCAUGAUCACGUUAACAUUUGAUACUGGCUUCAAUUCAAGGUGAAAUUCAAUUUUAUUUUUACGUGUAAUUUUUUAUUUUUUAUUUUGGCUGGUUCAAUUGAUAUAAUAAUUUUUUUUAAACUGAUAUAGGAUUGAAGAGCUGACUCAUGAACUUUCUGAACAAAAAAGCUAACUACCACUCUUUGAAUUGAUCUAGAAAACUAGGAAAAACUUAAUGAGACUUUCAAAGAGGUAGUUCUAAAUUUCUACAUGAAUUUCUAUCAACGUGAUGAGCAUUUUUAAUCUGUAAUAUACACAUAUUUAUUUUAGUACUUAAAUGACAAAAUUCUUUGGUGAUGAUAGAUUGUCAAUAAAUUUUAUGACAUCAAGCAACAUUGCAUCAAGAAUUUUGCAGAUACAAGCUGGGAAGAUAAAUGUGUCUCUUGGACAAUUCACCUGAAACGUGAAAUUCGCAAAGCGACUACAAACUUCUCUUGCUUCAAGUAAGUAAGACCAAUAAUCUAUUGAUUUUGAAUGAAUUUGUUCUGCUCAACGAAAAAGAAAGAAACAUUAGUUGUGAAACUACGAUAGUUCCUGCAAUUUAGUCCUUGACCUAUGACCAAUUAGUUAGAUUCGUAAAUGGGUCAAGUAAAUGACGAUGCUAUUCAUUAAUUUUCGUAUUGUUUCAAAAUAUUUACCGACUUCUCAUUUCGAUAAUAAUUUGAAGUUGUCAA